CUUGAAAUCACGGACCUGUAAGCAUGAAGAUCGUCUGGUGUCUACUCGCUGUUUUUGGAUUUACACAUUGUGUUCCAAUAGAGCAAAAUCCCAUUGGUAACUAUGGCCCGGCUGAAUUUGAUGAGAACUUUCCAGAAGAAAAUCCAGGUUUAUAUGAAGGGGAUAUUGAGUUAAGAGAAGGUGAAGAUCCUCGAAAUAGAAAUGCUAUUACUGAUAAAAGCAAAUUGUGGCACGGUGGUGUUCUUCCAUACUCUAUCUCUUCUGGAUAUUCUUCAAGUGAUCAAGCUUCCAUCAGAGCUGCCAUGCAUACCAUUGAGGAGAAAACUAAAGUAAAUGGUAAAACAUGUAUCCAUUUUACACCUCAUACCAACCAACGACAAUAUAUUAGAUUUGCAUCUGGAACAGGCUGUCAUACACCAGUUGGUAUGGGCCAUAGUGCGUCAACUGUAACAUUGGGAAGAGGUUGUUUGAGAAUUGGUACCAUCAUGCACGAGAUUAACCACGCCCUUGGAAGCUGGCAUGAACAGAGUCGACAUGACCGUGAUAGUUAUGUCACUAUUGAUUU